AUGAGAGAUUAAAAGCUUCAACCUUGAGUGAUCACAGUUUUUGAGAAUCACGAGGAGGCAUUAAAGAAGAGGAAGAGUGUCCCGAGGGAGAUGAGCUGAAGGUGAUGCAAGGAUGUCUAGACCAGAAAGUGUGUUGUUGUCUACAACACAGAGUGCAAAUGAAGAGCAGGAGCUCAUUCCCAAGAUAAGAGCCACCAAAGGACCCCAGGGCUCUGAAAUCAGGCUGCACCAUUACAACCUACUCCUUCAGCUGUGCAGAUGGAAGAAGGUUAAGAAAGGAACUGCCAACCACAAUGUGCAAACUGUCCAGGCUUUUGUUGUUUCUGUGUUGUUGUAAAAUGGCUAGAGAUGGCUAUGAGACUGAUGCAGGAAACUUGCUCACUCCACAUCUGCAUCUACCCCCAUUGCCUUGAUCUGUGCAUCCCAGAUGUUCUGGGACAAUGGCUCACGCAAGACAGAGUACAAAGAAGCUUCUGGUUUUUCUCGGCUCUGCCAGACUGUAUGAAAUAGCUGAUUUUGACUGGUAGAGGAGGACUUGGAAGACACAUGGAAAAGGACAGGAUCAAAAUCCAGAGGAAGGACCAGAAUUGCAGAUGCCACAUAAUGCCAGUGAGACAUCUUUCUGCAGUCCAGGUUGUUGCCCUCUUUUGACACGCCUUUGCCUUGAAUCCAAAUCUAGAAGUCAGCAGUAUGUGGUUGAAUUGCUACCCUGGUUGAGUGGGAGACUUUUAGGCAAGCCCCUGCUGUCUUCUUUUUGUCCUUUCAUUUUGGAGAAGGGAGUAGAGCUGAGUGAAGGCUGUUGUGAAGAGCAAGUCAUCUGUGCCACCAUCGCCAGAUGGGAUGCGGGAACAUAGGCAAUUUAUAAAACCUCUGCAGCAGCUUCCACGACCACAAGGGAUGAUACUGGUGCAAUUUAGCAUUGUUAAACUCAAGCAUUCACCUCAUGCCAAUGUGUGUAGCUGUGCUCUCUCACUUGAGCUUGUUCAUUUGGAAAUACAGAAGGAUGAGGCAUUAUAUCUUUAAAUAAAAUAUUCCC